CUGGCUGGCGGGCAGCAAUCCUUCGCUGGACUUUCUUUCGGGAGCCGUCUCUGUUUCGGACGUUUACCUGCGGAGGGGAGACUCCUGAGCCGAGAGGCCUGCCUUCCCUCCCCAGGGAUCGGGGCCCUUCCACCCCAGCCCCCAAGCCCACCCCUGCCCACUCCCCAGUCAAAGAAGGGUCACGAAGGGGUGAGGAAGGGGGGGUCCUUUGCGACCUGCAAAGAGAGCGGUGUCGGGGCCAGACGCCGCCCCACACCCACUGCAUGUAGCUGAAGAGCACGAUGACACUGAGGAAGGUGAAGUUGCUGGCGACGCCGACGAAGGCGCAGGUCAUGGGGAAGUUGUACAGCAGGUACCUGGGGAUGCGAGUGGGGGCGGGGCAGGGGAGGGAGUCGCAGCUAUCGGGGAGCACCAGCCGCCCCCACUUCUCAGAAAUAACUUCCAGAGCAAUGCAUCAGAGUUUGGCUAAAACGGGUCUCCUCCCUUGGCCUCCACCCUCGGCCUCCCACGCGCUGAGCCAGCAGUUGCGGACAGCAGGUCCUGACCCUGGCUGCGCAUGACGUUUCCCUGGGGUGCUUUCAAAAAGACCAGAUAUGAACCUAAUAAAUCCUUGUCUUGGGGUGGGGCCCAGGCAUUGGUAUUUGUGAAAAGCUCCCCCGGGGAGGUGCUAUGCUGAUAUGGAGCCAGAAUGGAGAAUCUGUAGCCUAAGUAAAACCUGCCACCUCUGCUUGGGAUCCUUUUCACCUGAGGACAGCCAGGAGGCCACUCCAGCGCUUCCUCACCUGAGCCCAGUGAAGUGGGCAUGGAUGCGGAGCUCCACCUCCAGGAUCUGCUUCUGCUCUGCAAAGCCGAACAGCAGGAGGCUGGAGAAGACCAGCGUGUCAAGCAUCUGGAGCAGGUCUGAGCGGUAGUGCAGCAUCACCUGCCGAGGCCAGGAGGGAGAGGCUGAGGACUGGUGCCUCCCCAGGCUGCUUCUUCCUCAGGCCCCCUGCUCCCUCCCUUGCACUUCCUACCACGCCCCCAAACCCAAGUCCUGACCCAACCACUGUGAAGGCUGGCGAGACAUCCCUGCCUGGCCCUACCAAGUGUCUCUAUUCCCAAAACAGCAAAGCCCCUUCUUCUAAGAAACUGUCCAAGAUGAAGCCCAGCACUGUCUCUGAUCUACCUUUCCCCCAAAUGGUUGUAGAAUCCAGAAGAGAAUGUAUGUCCCAGUGCACCAGCGGAAGCUUUUUUCCCCAUAUGGACAUUCAGGAAUUUGUUUUCGUCAUGUCCUUCUGUUGACAAUUAAGAAUGGAGUCUAGGGAG